rnacentral:lncRNA from 1 species
GUCUGUUUUCCCCCUGGAUUGUAAACUCCCUGAUGUCUGGGUCAUCUCAGCUCAUGAGCUGAGCUUUCAGUGGGUGCUCAGUGGAACAGGUGCUGAAUGGAGUCAGGCUUUAGGGAGGCCAGCGUGUGUUGGAAGGAAAAUACCCGUACAGCCAACUUCCUUGAGGGUUCGUUCUUUUGCAUCAGGGUGUCUCAAACUCCUGCCCUUAAAACACCUGCAAGAGAAUCAUCUAGGUGGCUUGCUCGCUCUGCAUGCAGACCCUUUAGAAUCAGAGUCAGAAUACCUGGGGCUGGAGCCACAAAAUGAAAUGACAUUUCAACAAGUUUGUCAUCACGUAAGAGAGAAUAGAUAACUUCACUCUUCUCUGCAACGAAUCCCAAAAGUAUAUAAUUGAGCUGACUGCAAG